rnacentral:rRNA from 1 species
UACGAAGGGGGCUAGCGUUGCUCGGAAUUACUGGGCGUAAAGGGCGCGUAGGCGGCACUGUUAGUCAGGCGUGAAAGUCCUGGGCUCAACCUGGGAACUGCGCUUGAUACGGCAGAGCUAGAGGAUGGAAGAGGGUCGCGGAAUUCCCGAGUGUAGAGGUGAAAUUCGUAGAUAUUAGGGAAGAACACCGGUGGCGAAGGCGGC